rnacentral:tmRNA from 1 species
CCCCUUUGCAUCCGCGCAGAAGCCGACUAUAUGACUCCUGUUCCCUAGUGGAACUAUGGACAUAAACGCGCUCGUAAUAAGCGGAUCGGACCCGGGGGCGGUACCCGGCGGCUCCACCAAUAUCCUUCGUUUGGGGAUCAUGGGGCCGAAACAGGAUCGACGGACGUCUAAAGGGGUUUUGCUUUGUCUCGGCGGGGUGCCACCGUACCGGCCCAAACAGUACAAUUGCAAACGACAAUCGUGCUCCGGUUGCUCUGGCUGCGUAAGCAGUCCGAAAAACCGAAAUCUAAGCCCUUAGGCUUUGCAGCUUAAGGCGGGGUUCGCAGGUACCUGGCAACAGAAACCUGCACU